rfam:Flavobacterium succinicans strain DD5b FLB_contig000053, whole genome shotgun sequence.
GUUUAGCAGGGUUUGCGUGAGUGAUAGUAGCGGCAUCCUUUUAUGUAGCGAUAGCGGAAUAAAAGAUAUAGCGGAUAGCACGACGGCUU